UGGGGAAUCUUGCACAAUGGGGGAAACCCUGAUGCAGCGACGCCGCGUGAGCGAUGAAGGUUUUCGAAUCGUAAAGCUCUGUCCUAUGGGAAGAUAAUGACGGUACCAUAGGAGGAAGCCCCGGCUAACUACGUGCCAGCAGCCGCGGUAAUACGUAGGGGGCGAGCGUUGUCCGGAAUUACUGGGCGUAAAGGGUUCGCAGGCGGCAUGACAAGUCCGAUGUAAAAGGCGAAAGCUCAACUUUCGUAAGCAUCGGAAACUGUCAAGCUCGAGUGAAGGAGAGGCAAGUGGAAUUCCUAGUGUAGCGGUGGAAUGCGUAGAUAUUAGGAGGAAUACCGGUGGCGAAGGCGACUUGCUGGACUUCAACUGACGCUGAGGAACGAAAGCGUGGGUAGCAAACAGG
rnacentral:rRNA from 1 species